CGUGGGUGGCUAGUCCCUCGAGAGCGGAUUGUGCGCGCCGCGGUGUGGAAGAGGUUACAAGGGAGCGUGGAGCUCGGCCCGUGGGGACUGCUCCUAGCCCUUCUCCAGGGAAGAUAUUAUUCAUCCAGAAAAAAUGAUGCAGACUAGCUAUAGGAACCAGUCAAGAUAUUUUGCUACAAGAUCUAGGACAAGAGGACUUAUCAAGUAUCUCCCACCUUGUGGAUCUCCUGGGGACCCUUCACCUGCUUCUUCUACUGCAAAUGAUUGGACAUCCAUCUCCCUGGGCUCUUCCGGCUGGACCUGGCCUAGAAUUUCUGAAAGAAGGACCAGAGUAAAGCCAGGAACUCCCAGAUGAAGAGGACAUUCCUGGAUCUGUAACUGGGAUUAACCAAUUCUUGACUUCAGGAGGGAGUUUUAACUAAUUCUCAGGAUAAAGUCAAAACACGCCUAUGACUGUCCUUUGAGUACUGAAGGUGUAAACAAGCUUCUGGCUCCCCCAGGUCAAGCAGAGAAACACUUUUAUUAGGAUGUUGGGUUCCUUCUUUGUUAUUCAGACGUACACCCACACACAUCCUCUUCACCCUCCCUAAUGAAAAACCUCAACAGAUGGAGAGCCUAGGCUCCCAAGCCUGCUGGCUGAGAAGAUGCACUUCACUCAAGGGUCAGUUGCCUGGUACGGAAUGGGGGAGGGAGAAGAGACAAGUAGCUAAUGUAGGUAAUCACUAUCUUUUAAUACUCCUUACAGAUAGAAAUUCAAAAAAUCCUAUUCAGCAAGGUUAGCAGCCUCUGGGGCCUGGGAAACCAAUUUGGUUGAUGUGUGUCUGUUAGGGACUGGGCUGGGGGCUGCACCAAAGGGAAGUACUCACUCUAUAUUCUCUCCCUCUCUCUCAUUUGAAAGCCUGUACAAAGAAAUGGUACAAAUGGAUGGUUAACUUAAUAAUUCCAUCACAGGUGGAUUUUUCUCUGUCAGGUCCCUGGAUGAGGCUAAGGUCUGAAAGCCAGGAGGCAGAAUAUGUACUUAAUUGCCCUUUCUUACCGCCUUUCCAGGGGCCGGGACUAGUCUUCAGGCCUUUCCUCUGCAACUUCCCCAUCCCCCUGGCUAGCUCAGUUGGGUCUUCUCACUCCACUCCAGGCUGGGUCCUGAGUUUCUCCUGGUAGCCAGGGCAAGCACUCCCUCUGCCUAAAUCUCUUUCCCCACCCCCACGUUCCAUUUUGCAGCGGACCAUUGCCACUGCCUCACCUCUACCUUGCGUUAAUUCAGAUCUGUUUGCCUGGACAGAACAACCAGGGGCUCCCAAACGACUGCCACCUCCCAUCCA